CUGGUUGAUCCUGCCAUAGUGUAUGCUUCUCCUAAAGACUAAGCCAUGCAUGCCUUCGAAUAGAAGAGCAAGUCUCUCUGAAUCUGCGUACGGCUCCGCAAACCAGUUGUAAACCAUAGCUAGCAGGUCUCGGAGACGACCGCAAGGUCGUAGCUGGGGCCAAAAGGAUAUCCAUGGUAAUUCUGAGGCUAAUACUUGACUGUAACCCCUGGCUGACCGGGCAACUGGUAGGCUGGGGGACGUGUACGGCUUCGCACACCAUUAAGGAAUGAAUGCACGUUCAGACCGCUUUUCAACACAGAUAGGGGGUAAUCCUUCGGGAGAUAACCCUUGCCUGAGCGGCUCUAGCACGGUGCUUCUGACCUAUCAACUAGAUGGCAGCGUAACGGACAUGCUAUGGUGACAACGGGUACAGAGGAUAAGGGUUCGAUCCUGGAGAGUGGGCCUGAGAGAUUGCUCACACUUCUAAGGAAGGCAGCAGGCGCGCAACGUUCCCAUUGGACAAUGUCCGAGGGCGUUAGGGGACAUAUGAAUGUCUGCCUUAUGGUGGACAAUUCAAAUGGGUUUGUUCUAAACAACCUUUCGAGUAACAAUUAGAGGACAAGUCUGGUGCCAGCACCCGCGGUAAUUCCAGCUCUAAUAGCAUACGUUAAAAUUGUUGCGGUUAAAACGCUCGUAGUCUGCAUAAGAUCCUCAGAAGCCUUUCGCUAGGUCCUUAGGUUCGUCGCCCUGCCAAAGGGCACACCUGGGGGUCAGCAAGGGGGGACGGGGGUCAACCGUACACUGGGCCGUCUCCGUCUAACGGUGUUCACAGGGGCUCCUGGCUGGCUUCGGCUUCCGGGCGGCUCUGGUCUGGGUACCAUCUACCAUGACUAAACUGGAGUGAUCAAAGCAUGUCUUUCGACACGUACAGCGCAGCAUGGAAUAAGCUCACCCAUCUGGCCCGCGAAACCGGGUGGGUAGACGCAAUAGGGAUGUUCGAGGGUGACCGAAUUGCUGGGCGAGUGGUGAAAUACGUUGACCCUAGCAAGUCGACCAAAGGCGAAAGCAGUCAUCAAGGGCAUACCCGUUGAUCAAGAGCGAAAGUUAAGGGUUCGAAGACGAUCAGAUACCGUCGUAGUCUUAACUAUAAAUGAUACAGACUAGGGAUAGGACACUGUCCAUCUCGACUCCUCCUGAAUCUUUGAGAAAUUACCAGUCUUUGGGUUACUGGGGGGAGUAUGGUCGCAAGGCUGAAACUUAAAGGAAUUGACGGAAG
rnacentral:rRNA from 1 species